UUUCUUCUAAUUGCUACUAUCUUGCAUUGGUAUGCUGCUGUGUUCUGCUGCUGCUGAACCCCACCGUGGGGGAGCAGGACGAGCAGAACUUGGUGCUCCAGUACCACAAAGGCGCGCUCCUCAAGGGGAGGAUCACCGUUAACCUGUUAUGGUACGGCAGCUUCACCCCAAUCCAACGCUCCACAAUCGUUGACUUCAUAAAGUCGUUAAGCUCCUCCCCGGGGGCCCCACUUCCCUCGGUGGCAUGGUGGUGGAAGACGACGGAGAAGUACAAUGGGGGAUCCACUACGCUGGUCGUAGGGAAGCAAAUCCUGCA
rnacentral:lncRNA from 1 species